AUAGAGACUUUUAAACACCCUUAAAAUAAGACUAAAAAAAGCUUCAACUGUUUAUGCCAAAUUAUAUGAUUUUUUUUCUUUUGUUUGCAGCAGUUUGGGGGUGCCUGGAAUAGAAUUUGGGGGGAGGAAAAUCUCCCUGCCGCAUCCAACCGUGCUGGCAUUGCCACGUUUUACAACCAUGCAAACCUCGGGUCCUCAUCCAUAAAGCCAGCCCCGAGACCUCUGCCCCCGGGACUCCAUCCAGCUUGGCCCUCUGAGACUUCACACUCCUGCUGAACUUGGACAUCAGGCCAAGCCCCGCAGACCCACCAGGGUGAUUCACUUAAAAGGCGGCAGCAGCUCGCCUGAAGUCAGCGUUGUAGCCUGGAAAAGGCUGGAUGAGCCUUUGCUCACCACUGGACAUAAAAAAUAAUCUGCAUGUUCGAAAAGGAUGUGCUGAACUCGUGACCUGUAAUAAACGGUUACUGCUCAGUCUUUAAAACGCAGGUGCAGUGGUGUGUCUGUCUUCAAAACUGCCAAUCGGCAAACCCAAAUACAGCAGCAACAGCAAAAAAAAAAAAAAGAGAGACACAAAACCUUUAGAAACAUUCGUUCUAGCUUCUCAAAGCUCUACUCAAGUAGGUAUCAGUCUACAGGGUCUGUUUCUCCUUUUCCAACAGGGCAAAAACAAAACUUGCAAAGUCUAAAUACCUUAACACUGAAAACCUCUUGUUUCUAUGAUUAUAAUUAAGUCAAGCAUGGAUCAUUCCACAUUGAUGUUGCCAGUGGAAUCUUUAGAAAAACCUCAGAUGCGAACCAAUGCAAACCUGUGAGUUGGGGUUUGCCCCCCACCUGUAGUACCACACCCAGCCUGGAGGCACUGAGUUCUUCCGAGGAAAGUCUGGUCUCAUGUCACUGGGGGCCGUGUCAAGGAUGUUGACCCUGCCCCUCCUUUGGAAUCGCUCUGGCUAUUUCUACGACAGAAAAUGAUUCUCUCCCAAAGGACCACCAUUCACAGAUGCUAAUAGGGUAGCAUUGGUAGAGCUCUUUAAAAUAUAUGAUGUGCUUCUCGCGGUGCCUGGGUGGCUCAGUCUGUUAAGU
rnacentral:lncRNA from 1 species